UACGUAGGGGGCGAGCGUUGUCCGGAGUUACUGGGCGUAAAGCGCGCGCAGGCGGUCUUCCAAGUCAGUGGUGAAAGCCCGGAGCUCAACUCCGGAACUGCCAUUGAAACUGUGAGACUUGAGUACGAGAGAGGUGAGUGGAAUUCCCAGUGUAGAGGUGAAAUUCGUAGAUAUUGGGAAGAACACCGGUGGCGAAGGCGGCUCACUGGCUCGUAACUGACGCUCAGGCGCGACAGCGUGGGGAUCAAACAGG
rnacentral:rRNA from 1 species